GCCUGGGUGGCUUAGUCAGUUAGGCGACAGACUCUUGAUUUUGCCUCAGAUAGUGAUGUCACGGUUCGUGGGUUCAAACCCCACCUUGGGCU
rnacentral:tRNA from 1 species